ACCCAGAAAUCGUCAUAUUAUAAAAAUAACUUGUUUAUAUUAUAUAGUGAAAACUGGAAAGAUCCAGCAUUUGACUCAAACACCAACGAUACAUCAUGCUUAUCGCCCCUCGUAAGAAAUUUCAUCCUUUUUUUUGAAUAUCUGGCAUUAUUUCAGGUGAAGAAAAGAUUUCUUCUAUAGAAGAUCAUCAGCUGUUCUGAGUUUUUAAGAUCCCACGGUGUGUGUGCGAUGUGCAAGUGCUGUGUAUUUGUUGCUGCUGUCAUUACUGAGGUGCUGAAGUUUGUUGUUUGCUCUGACAGAACGCUGAAAUGUCCAACUCUCCUGGAAGAUGACAGCUUAAAAACGGCGAAACAACAGCAACUGGAAAUAACAGCCAUUCCCAUAGCGCUUAAAGCCUUAGCAGAAUUGAAAAUGGCACUCUGCUAUGCUGUUUAUGGGUGAGGUCUCAGACCCUGCUCAAGCAACGUUUCUGACUUCGUGGAGCCUGCUUGCCUGAGGAAGUGUGUCAAGGUGAAGGCCUAAUUGCCCAUAUUCUUUUCUGUACUGUUGAUGCUCCGUUUUUCAAAGACGUUUCUGCUCUCUGUCAGUUAAAGUUUGAAAAUGUCAGAAUGUAAGACAUGUUACCCAGACUUCUGCACAGAUUUUUGGGGGCACAGUUCAAGCGAGCAAAUGAAGGAAGGGACAAUUCUGAGGGAGUAUUCUUGUUGCUUACUGUAUUUCUCAGCUGCCCAGAGUAUGCAAGCUGCUGCUUAUAGUUGGUUCCUGCUCUGUUUCAGCUAAAUGCCUUUGGUACAACUCUCAAAGGCACAACGGCCCAUUGUAUACAUGGAGAUAAUAAUUCCUUGCACUUUUAUAAUCUUUUUAGCCUGAGGAUAUUUUGUGACUCCCUGAUGCUGGAAGUAGUAUUAUCUUCCUCACCUUUUGUCCCUUCUGUCCUUUUAUUUGUAGGGAAGAUCAGUGCUGGGGAAAGUGAGGCAGACGCUUCCCAGCUCCUGGGCUAUUUGUUUGCUUUGGCUCCAAGCAGUACUCAUGGAUGAAACCCCCAAGGGCUGCAUCUCUCUUUCCCAGAAGAGAGCCCUGGUGUGUCCCUGCUAGGUCAUCGUUCUGGGUGACUGAAGGACCAGGGAUCCCAAGCGCACUGCAGGGGGCAUCUGCUGAACUGUUUUGCUGCAGGUUAAGUUUCUUGAGAUACAAGAAAUCUGUGGCAGAGCUUACAAGACAACCCACGUCUUAGCUGUUCUCCUUGGACCUUAGCUAAUCACUGAUUGCUGGAUUUUUAUGGUAGACUUUAAAAUGGGAGUGGGGUGGAGGCACCGCACGCAGGAAUCUCUAAUUUUAGAUCGAAUGGUUUUAAUGGUAAAUUCAGGAAAUAUUUAGUUAGGGUACAAUUUUCAGAACACAAGUAUCAGUCUGAAGCUUUUAUCCAGCUCUGCACUGAUUUUGUACUGUGUGGCUAGCCCAGCUUUGUCUUCAAAGUCAUCUUUUGUGUCAGACAACAAUCACUGCAAGGGAAAUACGUACAGCUAUAGCUUUCACCAAGACAUCAAGAGCUUUAAGUCUGGGGAUUGGGGUGGCAAUGCAUAGGUCUUAUGAUCCUUCUCAUCUCAUUGGAAAAGGUCACAGAAGUCAUCAGAUUGACUGCAGAACAUUCCCUCAGAGCAAUGCACCUUUUGUACAUUGGAGCCGCUACUAUUUUUGAAGCUGUGGUCCAUGUGGAGCACAAAUCAUACUUUAACAUGUAUAUCAAUGCAUUAGAAAUACCCUAGGGGGACAGAGAGAGGCUUUCUGUUCAGUGCAGUAUUUACUCAAAAAUUUCUAGCUUAGAGUAAUGUAAAAUAGGCAAGAAAAGCCAUUGAUGGAUUUUAUUUCUUCUUUCCAAAAGCCAGUCAAGGACAAGGUAUGGAGAUUCUUGACUGUAGUUGAUGAAUGUGUUUUUUCCUUUAAGGAGGAAAUAGUAAGAAAAAGAUCAGUGAAAUGGAUGACUGUGGAUUCUUUUUACAUUACGAAAGACAUUAGGCAGCCUGAAGGGGGCUAAAAUGGUCUGGAAGAAGCAAAACUGAACCUGUGGCAAUGGAAAUGUUUACCUAAUCUUGUCUGUAGGGACAGCACAGUAGACCAUGGACUAUGUGCUCUAGAAGAGAACUUUGAAUGUGCCCCAUGUCCUCUGCUUCUACCACACUGGCUUUGCAUAAAAUGUGUGCCCCUAAAAUGAUCAGCUUGUGCAAAGUGAAGUAUAAAGGAUUUUAGAUAGCAUCUAUUACCCUUGUUCAACAAGAAUCUGCCUAAUAGGCAAAUGUACUAAUGUACACUUGCUAGAAAUAGAAAAUAUCCCUUCAUUUUUCUUAUGUGAGUUAUAACUGGUAAAAAUAUAGAAUUGGAGAUGCUGACAAAGUUGUUACUUCUACAUUCUUAAGGAACAAUUUCCAAUCACAAAUGUUUUCAUCUUCACCAGUGCCCGGUGGAAACACCUGAUGAAGAGGUAGAUCAACCGUUAUCCUGCAGGGGACUUUGUUAUGUCCCACACCAGGUUUUCUAGCAAGAAUUCCCUGUUACAGAACUGUACCUAGCCUUGAGUUUCUGCCCUUGGCCCCUGGGUGAUGAAACAAUUAUAAUACUGCUAGCAAUGAGUGGUGCCACGGACACAUGUCCAUCUAGCAGUGCAUGUGAAGAAAAAUGAAACUUCAUAGAGACCUGAUUUUGUAAUGAUGUAUUCAUAUCCAUAUUCACCAUGAAAGACCCUCAAGAACGACCAAUUAGUUCAAAUACCUUUUUCUUGAUUACUGGACAACUACCAUAAAGAUAUUUCCUAAGGGUCAAUAAGGCUUUGUUACUAGGCUUGUCUGACCAUCGAUAUGUGAACACUCAGAGUUAUGAAUAAAUCUGAUACGGAAGAACCCCCCCCCACACACACACAAAUAAAUUAUCUUUAAUGCCUAAAAGAUGCUCACUCUAGUAUUCAGCUACAGAACUAUGAACUUUCUUUAUGGAAUUUAAAGUUAAUUUAACUACUUUUGGUAUCUAUGAACACAGAAACCAGGAAAAAAAAGAAAAAAAUUGCCUCUUCUGUCUUCUGUGUUUUUUCCACAGGCUCAAAAUGGUACCACGGGUAGGUCACCUAAUCAGUCAAUAAUUCAAUAGUAAUACCAUUUUUUACUUCCACUUUUGUUUGUCUUGUUUGAAUUGAGAGCUUCUGGGAAGCAGGAACCUUUUCUUGUGACGAUUUUGGAAGACACACCAGAGGAACUGUCUGGUAUGAACCUUCAGGCAUGACUGGAAUAGUAACAAAUAGUAGCAAAUGAUUUUUAGUCACUGGUUUUCUUCAUUGUUUUAAGCUAUGUGAAAAUGUAUAGGAAAAAAUCAUGCUAAAAUGACACGCUACUGGAAAUGGAUCCAGACUAAGAUCAGCCAAGGCUGUGCUGGGUACUUCUUAAUUAACUCAAUGAAGCAUACGCAAUGAAUAAAAAUCUAACUUUUGCAAGGCAAAUAAGCUAGGACUUUUAUGGAUGCCAAUAAAAUGAAUGCUGUCUGGGAGAUAGUCAUUAGCUGAGUGGAAGAUGUCUGUAGAGGCUGUGGUCUAGAAAGCUGGUGAAUUUAAUGGCACGGGCAUGGAGGAUUGUGUAAUACAGUGAGUGGAGCUGGUAAAAAGAAAAAGAGUAGCACUUUUUCGGUAUGAAUAUGUUUCAUCUAACCAGCAGUAAAUUGCAUGAACUGUUAUGGUCUCCUGGUCUACAUUAACCAAGGUCUGACUAGCGUUAGCAGCUCUCCACAUUCAUUUGCCAAAUAGCAAGACUGUGAUGCUGUUCCUCACAAACUAAGAGGCACAUAAGCUAACUUUGGUAGGAUGCUUACUCUGUGUGUGUGUCUCUGUGUGUGUGUGUGUGUGUGUAGAAGUAAAGAAAAAGAUUUGUAAACCAGCAAAUUCUCAGGUAUUUCUAACAACCCUUUUCUGCUAUUUGCGAUUUUAUGUUUAAAAAAGAAAAAUGGAAGCACUCACCUGUUUGGCUGUGGUUUGUUCCUACUCCACAGCAUUUUCCUGGCUGUUCUGAAGUCUCUUCAUCCUGUGAGAAACAGAGGAAGAGGAAGGAAGGGAGGACUGAAGUUUCAGAAGAAUGAAAAAGAUUAGCAGAAGCAGAAAAAUGGUGGCCUGGUGAAGAGCAGUGAGCAUAUAUAUGCCUCAGUGUCACUUCAGAGUCACGUGUGUCCCUGCUCUUUGGUCAGACUGUGAGGAGGCUGGUUACCUACCCUGUACUGGGUGUCUUUUAGAAACUCCCAUGGUCUCCAGGAGAUAUGUGAUGACUAAAGCUAUUUCUCUAGGGGAUAGCUGCCUUUCUGUAUUUACUGGCUGUUCAGCUGAUAUAUGAGAGAAUGUGUUCUAGUGGUUAGGCAGUUAUUGUGCUGAAAUAAUAAUUACUCUAGUUCUUGUUGCUUCUUUCUUGCUCAUAGAUUUUCUUGUACUUUGCAGAGGGUGGAACAUUUUAACUUCUCUUUUACGGAUUUGUUGAAGGUAAGGUAGCAGAGCCAAGCCAACAUCCCAUGAAUUCCAGUCUAUCACCAUCUCCAGUGGCUUGCAUUGCUCCCCAGUUACUGGCCUAGGUGCUGAUCCAGAUUGCUUUGGUCGUGUUUUAGAUCAACAAGUGUCUGCUGCCCUGCAGCCUUCGUUGUUUCCAGCUGUCUGGUGCCUCAUAUCUCUUGGGAGAAGGGGGAUGCUGGUUUGGCAUACCAUUGUAUAACCACCCAUUUUGUCUCCAGAUAUAACAGAAAAAGGCUGGAGAAAGCAGAGGAAGAUCAAGCAAGUUCUAAAUAUCAGUUACUGAUCACUGAUAGAUGUGAUGUGUUUAAUGUUGGGGUACCCCUAGACACAAAGAUCACAGGAUAAACAUUCAAAGGUCACUCUACUCUAAAAGAGGCAAUGGUAAAUUUAACAGCCAAGGUGGUAUGAUUAGAAGACUAAACACAGUAAAACAUGUUCUCAGAAGAUGUGCCCAUACCAGUUCUUGAAGGCUUCUUGCUGAGUUCAGUUCAACCUGGACAAGUUCCUCUGCAUUGCAUACAGGUUGCCAGGGAGCCUGGGGGACCCACCAUCUGACAUUCAUAGUGCUCGGCUUCUAUCCGAAUAUGUCUGAGAAUCCCACUGAAGCGUGGGAUGACAAGUUCCCUCUUUCCUUUUACAGAAUUGCUUCUUGUCCACAACUAAGGCACAUGGACUGCUGAGAGACUGCUGAAGAAUCACACCUUCGCAGCACAGAGAGGCACAAGAAUGUGUUGCAGGGACACCAUGGGUACGGAGAAUUGUUUUUUAAGGUGAAGUUGCUGAGGAA